AUGGACUUUGGCGUUAAGAUGCAGGGAGUCGAACCAGUGUCAACAAUGAAAGUCUCAGAGAGCGAGGGAAAGCUGGAGGGCCUGGCCACAGCGGUGACCCCGAACAACAAGAACAGCAGCAACAGCAGCUGUGGGGGUGGCAGCAGCAGCAGCAGCAGUAGCAGUAGCCACGGUGGCAGUGCAAAAGGCUGGCAGUACAGUGAUCACAUGGAAAAUGUGUAUGGUUAUUUAAUGAAGCACACCAACCUUGUCACUGGGUGACAAUACAGGUUUUUUGUUUUAAACAAUGAAGCUGGGCUAUUGGAGUACUUUGUAAAUGAACAGUCUAGAAAUCAGAAACCUAGAGGUACUUUGCAGCUUGCAGGCGCUGUAAUAUCACCCAGUGAUGCGGGUUCUCACACCUUCACUGUAAACGCUCCCAGUGGGGAACAGUAUAAACUCAGAGCCACAGAUGCUAAAGAGCGACAACACUGGGUAAGCAGACUUCAGAUUUGUACACAACAUCAUACUGAAGCUAUUGGAAAGAAUAAUCCUCCUCUGAAGUCACGGAGCUUCUCACCGGCAUCUAGUGGUAAUUCUCCUAUAUCCCAGAGGAGACCAAGUCAAAAUGCCAUUUCUUUUUUUAAUGUUGGACAUUCCAAACUGCAAUCAGUGAGCAAAAGAGCUCACUUACCUCCAGACCAUCUUGUGGAAGUCAGAGAAAUGAUGUCUCAUGCUGAAGGACAACAAAGAGACUUAAUUAGACGAAUUGAAUGCCUUUCUGCUUCUGGCCAUCUUACUUCCUUGGACCAGGAUCUCUUAAUGCUCAAAGUGACUUCCAUGGCGACUAUGAACUGCUUAAAUGACUGUUUUCAUAUUCUCCAGUUGCAGCAUGCAUCACAUCAGAAGGGCUCAUUGCCUUCAGGAGCGACAAUCGAGUGGUUGGAACCAAAGAUACCUUUAUCAAACCACUAUAAAAAUGGGGCUGACCAGCCCUUUGCAACUGAGCAGAGCAAGCCGGUGGCAGUCCCAGAAGAGCAGUCUGUGGCAGAAUCUGGACUAUUAGUAAGGGAACCAGAAGAAAUAAAUGCAGAUGAUGAGAUGGAGGAUACAUGUGACAACAAGGAGGAUGACCUGGGAGCUGUAGAAGAGCAGCGCAGUGUCAUCCUGCAUCUCUUGUUGCAGCUCAAGCUGGGCAUGGACUUAACAAGAGUGGUGCUUCCUACAUUUGUCCUAGAGAAGCGUUCCUUACUGGAAAUGUAUGCAGACUUUAUGUCCCAUCCAGACCUAUUUAUAGCCAUCACUAAUGGAGCCACAGCUGAGGACAGAAUGAUUCGCUUUGUUGAGUACUACCUUACCUCAUUUCAUGAAGGCCGUAAGGGAGCCAUUGCUAAGAAACCAUACAGUCCUAUCAUUGGAGAAACAUUUCACUGUUCCUGGAGGAUGCCAAAAAGUGAGGUAGCACGCAGUGCUAUUAGCAGCUCUUCCACCCAGGCAGUCACAAAUCAUGCUUCUCUAUCAGAGGAGUCUUCAAGCCGGGGGGAUCAGACUGUUACACAGUCAGAUUUGUUGCUGAACAGGUUUCCCAUCAUCCUCCAGUCUCAGGAUUUUAUGCAGAAUGUGCAGAGAAGAAGAUGUGUGUAAAUGCACAUGUCUGGACUAAGAGCAAGUUCUUAGGCAUGUCUAUAGGCGUGACAAUGGUUGGAGAAGGUGUCCUCAGUCUAUUGGAGCAUGGAGAAGAGUAUACAUUUUCUCUACCUUGUGCAUAUACCCACUUGAUUUUGACUGUUCCUUGGGUAGAACUGGGUGGAAAAGUCGGUGUCAACUGUGCAAAAACUGGAUAUUCAGCCAGCAACACUUUUCAUUCUAAGCCAUUUUAUGGUGGUAAACUGCACUGGGUUACAGCUGAAGUAAAGCACAACAUCACCAACACUGUGGUAUGCCGAGUGCAAGGGGAAUGGAAUAGUGUUCUAGAGUUCACUUACAGCAAUGGAGAGACAAAGUAUGUGGACUUGACUAAAUUGGCAGUGAUGAGGAAAAGAGUAAGACCUCUGGAGAAGCAGGACCCAUUUGAGUCCAGGCGAUUGUGGAAAGAUGUGACAGAUUCUCUGAGGGAAUCCGAAAUUGACAAGGCCACAGAGCAUAAAUGUGCCCUGGAAGAGCAUCAGAGGACUGAAGAAAGGCAUUGCACUGAAACUAGCACACCCUGGAAAACCAAAUAUUUUAUUAAAGAGGGAGAUGGCUGGGUUUAUCACAAACCCCUCUGGAAAAUAAUUCCAGCGACACAACCAGCAGAGUGACACAUGCUAUCUAAGACUCAACCAGUGAGGCUCUUCUGUUUACCCUAAACCCUCUCAGAGUGGAGUCAUUGCACUGAGUGAUCUGCUUCUUACUGUGCAGACUGAAACUAGCUCAUCAUGAAUGUACUACUAGGCACCAUGGUACUGCAGCAAGACCAAAGUGUUGAAGAGACAUGAUGAACCUCUCACCAACUUGUUCAUGUCAUGUGAGCAAUACCAUCUUAAAACCUUGUACCCAAAUUAUUAGAUGAUUAAUCUUUUAUCUAGGUCCCACUCCUAAAGCUAAGUUUGAAUCCCCUAUUUUGUACAGGGACAGCAGAUACAUACAACAAUGAGAACUCAGUGACUUUGGUUUCUUUAUAGUGAAAAGCAAAGUUUCUGUUUCUGAGUUUGUGUUUUGCUUUCUGUCCAAAACUGAAGUAUUCACUACUCUUAUGAACCAACCAAGAGGAGGAGAAAGAUGACCCAGAAGUGGAUUCAGCCAUUGUGCCUGAAAUCAGUGUUAAUAAACAAAUCAACCAGGUUGUGGUAACAAGGCGUUCUAUGUCUUCAAAAAGACUGUGUGCCUGUGUCUGAAGAACUUAUCCAUGAUCCCCCUCUGUUGGAACUCUCUUUUAAAAAGUAUAUUUAUAGAUUGAUUUAGAUUGAUUAGAAUUAUAACCAUGGAGAAUUUUUUCUUCUGAGCAUUUUAAUAUACUUGAAAACAACAUUGACUUGAAAAAUUUCAGAACAUUUUUCAAUACCUAGUUUUAUUAAAUAUUACACUUGAGAGACAAUUUUUAAAAAUCUGUUCAUGUCAAUACGAUGACAUUUUGACCUUCUCAAGAACUAAGGCAUUAAAGAAAAUGGCAAAUAUUUUAAAAAAACGUUAUUUUUUUCUUACCUUUUUUUCACUUCUAGGUUAAUAUCCAGUAUUAUACUAUCCCUUUGGAUAAGAAUACUUUAUUUUACCUCUGUUCACUUAAAAAUUAAAACAAUUGAUUCUAUUCA